CCAGAGCCACAGCAACUCGGGAUCCGAGCCGCGUCUGCGACCUGCACCACAGCUCACGGAAACACUGGAUCCUUAACCCACUGAGCAAGGGCAGGGAUCGAACUUGCAACCUCAUGGUUCCUAGUCGGAUUCGUUAAUCACUGCACCACGACGGGAACUCCUAUAUUUUGACGAUUGAUCUUUUGUUUGUUGCAUCUUUUGCAAAUAUUUUCUCCUGUUCUGUGGUUGUCUUUUCAUUCCUUAAUGGUUUCCUUUGCUGCGUACUUAGUAUUAUCUGAAGUCAGGCAGCCUGAUUCCUCUAGCUUUGUUUUUCUUUCUCAAGAUUACUUUGGCUAUUCAGGGCCUUUGGUUGUUACAUGCAAAUUUUAAAAAUUUUCAACAACACAUUUCUUGAUAACUUAUAGACAAAAGAAGUCAUAAAGAAAGUUAGAAAAUAUUCUGGAACUAAAUAUGAAUGAAAACAGGACAUAUAAAAUACUGCUUGGAGAGAAUUUUAUAGCUUUAUACUUUUGAAAGAAAAGAAGAAAGAUUUAAAAUCAUGGAUCAAGUUUUAACUCUAAGAAGCCAGGGAAAGAAGAGAAAAUUAAACCUAAACAAAGGGAAUAUUAAAGGCAUAAUAUGUUAUCAAUUAAAAUAGAAAAUGUAUGAACAAUGAAAAAACUGAUAAAGAUAAAAUUUGGUUAUUUGAAAAGGUUAAAAAAUUGAUAAAUACUAGGUAGACUUAUCAAGAAGAAAGAGACAGAGUGAAAUUUUGGAAUAGGAAUUGAUUAAGCAAAAUUACUACAGAGCAAAAUUACUAUAGACAUUCAAAGGAUAAAAAGAAAAUGUUACAUACAAAUUUACGCUAGUAAAUUCAACAACCUAAAUAAAACGAGCACAUUUCUUAAAAGGUAUAAAUCAAUAAAACUGACACAAGAAGAAAUGGAAAAUCUGAAUUGACUCAUUUAUGAAAAAUAUUUAAUUAAUAAUUUAAGAUCUUUUCUCUAAUGAAAGUCUAGUUGGCUACAUGGGUGAAUUCUACCAAAUAUUUACAGAAAAAUAAUACCAAUUCUAAAAAAUUUCUUUCAAAAAAAUAGAGAUGAGGAGCUAAUACUUCCCAAUUCAUUUUAUAAGGGCAGAAUUACCUUGAUACCAAAACUAAUGACAUUACAAGAAAAUUACAAAUCAACACCCAUCAUGAGACUAAAGCACUGAAGCAAUUCAGUGACAAAAAGAAAUCCUUUCCAAAUAACAAUGCUGGAACAACUGCAUAAAAGAGUGACUCUCAACAUAUAUAACACAGGACCUAAACCAAUCUAUGCCAAGGAUUCCUGACAAAUCCCCAGAAGUGAGUAAGAGGCAAGGAAGAAUCCUGGUUCUGUGGAUGCCUUGCUUUUGGACCGUUAGCCUCCAGAACUGUGAAAGAAUACAUUUCUGCUGUGUUAAGCAACCCAGUUUGUUACUUUGUUAUGGAUUUCCUAGGAAAUGAAUAUUGGCUUGGGGGGGGGGGCUCAUGUAAAAAAGGUUGGGAAACACUGUUCUAUAAGAAAGUAUAGGAGAGCAUAUUUGCAACUUACAGUUAGGUCAAGAUUUCUUAGUUCGAUCCAGACAGCUCUAGUCAUCAUGGAAAAAAUAAUGAAAAACUGAACUUCAUCAAAUUAAACCCUUCUGAUCAUCAAGAGAUCAGACAUUUUAUGAUCACUGUUAAGAAAAUGAAUAGUGAAUUAGCAGACUAAGAGAAAAUAUUUGUAAUAAUGUAUCUGACAAAGGACAUGUCCAGAAUAUAUAAAACACUCCUAAAAUUAAAAAAUAUAGAGACAAUCCAAUUGACUAAUGAAAAAAGACUUGGAUAGAUAGUUUGCAAAGCAAGAUAUUUAAAUAGUUAGUAGCAUGUAAAAAUGCUCAAUAUCCUUAGUCAUAAGAGAAUUGCAAACUGAAACUAUGAUGCAAUACCAUAACUCAUCACUUGUAUGGUACAAUUAAAAAGGCUGAUGACACCUAUAAUUUACAAUAGCCAAGACAUGGAAAAAACCUAAAUUGUAUUACACUUAGUGAAAUCAGUCAGAGAAAGACAAGUAUUCUGUUAUCAUUUAUAUGUGGAAUCUAAAAAGUAAAACAAACAAAUACAUACAACAAAACGGAAACAGACUGACAGAUACAGACAAUGAUCUAGUGGUUAUUAGCGUGGAGAGGGAAAGGGGGAUGGGCAAGACAGGGGUACAGGAUUAAGAGAUACAAACUACUAGGUAUGACACAGAUAUGCAACAAGGAUAUAUUGUACAGCACAGACAACCUAUAGCCAUUAUUUUGUAAUAAUUUUAAAUAAAGUAUAAUCUAUAAAAAUAUUGAAUCACUAUGUUGUACAUCUG
rnacentral:lncRNA from 1 species